UUUGUCGGCCAUUUUGCUGAUGAGGCAAUUGUAACGAAUUCCGAAAACAAAACAGAAUCAAUAAAACGCGCAAUAAAAACACAAGCGAGCAGCAUAAAGCACAACAAAAGUUGCGCUCAAACAGGUUCCACUCACGAACCAAAAUCAUAACAAGCGACGACGUCAGCACUAGAAUUUGCGAGAAACCGCCGGCUGUUUGUAGGGGGACGGUCACACUACACACAUACACACACACAUAUACACAUACCCACGCACGUUUGUGAGAGUGAUAAGGGGAGUGAAAGAGCGAUCAACAAAAGACACACGCGCGACGUCUUGGCACCGCCCCUCGCCCACCCGCUCAUUCUAAAAGAGCCGCCAGCAGCUGACCUCAAAAUAGACCUGUAUUCACGGUUUGCUGUAGCCUUCCGCUUCUGCUGCUUGUUUACCGAUGAGUCUGCACGAGUUUCUGUGUACGCGUUUUUUGUUGCUGUUUGCAAUAAAUAUUUGGUGUGAUUUGAUCGGACGGUGUCUGGCACUUGUCAAGAACUUUGACGCAUUGCUAGUGAUAAGAUGUGGACUCACUUUCGUUUACCUUGCAAAUCGAUAAUCGUUUCUUAACACAGCAGCAUUCAAAUAUAUGGUGUGCACGCUGCACGCAAUUUCUUAAUACGCGGAGACAGCCCACACAAGCCCAAGGUCAGCAAUAGUCACUCCUAGUCACUCCAAGUGAGACAGACAACUUAAGGGCGCACAGUGGAAGGAAAUGCGACAGGGCGUGACGUCACUACAGAAGGGCACACCCCCAGUUGACAUCUUGGUCUAUUGCAUCAGCAUUUUAGAUAUCCAAUAUUGAGCGACUCUCUCUCUCUCUCUCACAACAUCUUUGCCUAUACUUGACUCACAUUUGCCAUUGCCUUUCGUCGCUACCGCCGACAAACGUCAGAGACAAACAUACAUAAACAUAUGUAUAUGUAUAUACCGAAAGCAAAAGAA
rnacentral:sRNA from 1 species